UCAAACGCUGCACGCUCGAAAUUCCUCCAAGGAACCUCUGCGAGCUUUUCUUUUUUCAUCACGCGCGAGCUAAAAAUAGAAACGGGGUUGGAUCGUGAUCCAGAAAUAGAUAGGGGGCAUCACUCCUAUAAAAGGCACACCAUUCAAGAGUACAGUGUGUGCACAGUUUGAAGAAGAGAAAAGCUAGAGCAUAUUUUAUGGAGAAACAAGCUUUUUUUGUGGUCCCUUUUAUUCACUGUGGCACGUUUCGUGUUUUUAAAGGAGGCUCCGCUGCUACAAUGGUUGUCCACAUCACACACACACACACGCUGCGCUGGGAAACAAUAGCAGUGACCAAUCCACAACGAGGUCAGCAGGUGGAAUCCACAGAGUGAGUGGGAAACGCUGUAAGAGGGAAGUAAAAGAUAGUUUUUCUAUCAUAUUUAGUAACAACAGCUGCUAGCAUGCUCAUGAAGCAGUGACGUAACCCCCACUUCCCCACCACUUGCAGUGCAUUUACUUUGUGUGUCAGUGUAAGAUUUUGUUGUAUUUGAAGUUUUCUUUUUCUUCUUCUUGAUCAUCACAUAUUACAAGAAUGGAAAUAUAUUUUGGAAUUGAUCAGGUUAUAGUGGGUCUUGCUUAGCAGCAUUAUCUGUAAUUUAAAAAAAAAAAAAAGAGGCUGAGCCCAAAUUACAUUAUGAGCCCAAAUUACAUUAUGCAGUUACCAGCCAUGUAAGUAAUUUCAUUUGUUCCUUUUCAGGCUCAGCGCUAAAACUGACACAAAGUGUCACAACAUGACGUCAUGUUGAAUCUCAAACAUUCCUAAUAUUUCAAAGUGCAAACACUUCAACUGGCAGCACACAUGGUAACUUUAAUCCAUCCCAUGCUGCCAUGAAAUUCAGCUGUUUUAUCAAAUCUCCACGGAGUCUUCAGAUUAUUGCACACUUUUAAUAAUGAUUAACAGACCUGAGCACAUCCUCAAGAAAAUCUGAGGUGACACAUGAUUCUCUUGUGUGUAUUCAGAGAGAAUGUUUAAGUGAUUCUCUCAGUUACAUAGAAUGUGGUUUUUGGUAAAGUGUGAUUUACACAAGUGACUGACCCCCCCCCCAGCACUGGCUUUGGGAUUCCCCAGCCCCUGUGUCCUGGGGUCUCACCCAUACCCAAGAGCGAGUAGUGAACCCCCUCCCUCCCUCAGCCCCGGUGGAGCAGCCCAGCAGUUCACACAGUAGGCAGCUCCUGGUUUGGGAGAGUGAGAAUGUGCCUAAGCUUCCUUCUCACUGCACUUUCCCCUCCAGGCCAUCUUUUUAAUCAGCUCACCUGCUUAAAGGAGAGUUAGUAACAAUUACACAAAAGUCAGAAUACACACACUGCUCAGAAGGCAGUGUGUCUCUAUAGUUUUUAGUUAUAGAAAUUGAAAGAAAAAAACAUUAUGUGAUGUCCACAGUGAAGGACAGCCAUUAUUCCUGUUUUAUAGAAAUCAAAGGAAUAUUGGACUUUACUGGAAGAUAUACUGAGUUUAGAUCCAGGGAGCAAAGAUGUGGUGUGUCUUUUUCUCUCUACUGGGUCACUUCAUGCGUCACUGUAAACACAUUACGCCUUGUAUUGUGAAUCAGAGGGUGAUUUGGGAUUUUGAAUUAGUUUUUGUGUUUUUUUUAAUCAGUGUUUAUGAGUGGACAAGUGUUAAGACUUUACACAGAGUUCAACUGAGCAACAUUACAUGAAAUAAUGUUUCUAAAUGUAUUAGAAUACACCAUCUCCUUUUUUCUUUUUCUUUGUCAGAGCAGGUUGUGUGUAUGGAAAUAAUGUGUAUCUUUGUUAUAAUGUUAAUUUUACAGAUGUAGGAGUGUGUGUGUGUGUGUAUGCGUGUGUGUGUGUGUAUUUGUAAUAGAAAGAGAGAGUCUCUACAAUUAUUGCUAAAAUAGAGUCUGAAAUUAGACAAGGUGUACAUGCAUGUGUCCUUCAUUCACAAACUUGGAGUAUUUACAGUGGCCUACAGUAUACAUUACUGUUCAGUCAGUUAUUAGAACGAACAGUUGAUCUCACUGCCUGUAUUUUUCAGACGUACACUCAGACACUUAACUGUGGUUAAAUGAAAAUCUGCAAUCAUUUCUUCUCGUGCUUCAUAGGUCGAAGAAAUAUUCAACUGUGCUGAUCUGGAAAAAAAUCAGACAGAUAUUUACUGUUUAAGGCUUCAAAUGCAGAUUUAUGAAAAUGUGGAACCCCUUGAAAUACGUCAUGAAGCUCCUCAUCUGCCCCUGAAUAAUUGAUUUGUGAUGUUGUUCUUUGUUUAACAACAGAUGACAAAGAGAGGACAAGACACAGAGAGCAAAUUGUGUGCAUGGAGUCAUACAUUCUUGUUAUGGUCUUUAGAUGUAGGAAUGUAUGUGUGUGUGUUACCCUGUGUUACCUUUUACCUGCGCUUUUAUUCCUUCUCUUCAUGUGUGUUCUCCUGUCUCCCUGGUUGUUAAGUUAAUUUGAUUUAAUUUAAUAUUUUAUCUCACACUUUCUUAUUUUGUCAUGCUUUUUCCCUUUUUCAAAAUGUAUAAAUAUCGCCUGUGGACUAUAUAACAAACUUCGAUAAUUAGAUUUAGAAAAAAAAAAAAUUAUAGCCAUAUUCCAAGAAUGACUGAAUGUAUUAUUAGUAAAUUUACCUCAUUUGCUGUGAUAAUGAACAGACAUCUAACUUCUUAACUGUGCCCUAUUAACUGUGUGUGUUUUGUUUCAGAGGAGAGAGACUUGUGUGCAUGCUCACUCUUACCCUUAAGACUGUUUGGGGUUUGUAUCUUAUGUUUUGAAUUUACAGUUUUUAGCUUUAAUCUACAAUUAUUUUGCUUUUUACACUUAGUACAGUUUUGCAUGUCUGUUCUAUGUCGCACUGUGGUCCGUGAGGAAUGACAUUCUGUUUCCUUAUAUCUGUAUAUAAGAAAUGUAUAUGUCUGUGUGAAAUGUGAACAUUUCUCUGUAAAAUAACACAUGGAAAUAAACAUUAAAAAACUGAA